rnacentral:rRNA from 1 species
GACGAACGCUGGCGGCGUGCUUAACACAUGCAAGUCGAACGGAAGGGCCCUGCGUUUGUGGGGUGCUCGAGUGGCGAACGGGGGAGUAAAACGCGAGGAACCUGCCCUUGACUUUGGGAUAACAUCAGGAAACUGGGGAGAAUACCGGAGAGGAGAUCCUGAUGCAUGGGGGUGGAUGGAAAAUGUCGGCUUUGGGGGAUGGACUCGCGGUUUAUCAGCUGGUUGGUGGGGUAGUGGCUUACCACGGUUUUGACGGGUAGCCGGCCUGGGAGGGUGACCGGCCACAUUGGGCCUGCGAUACGGCCCAGACUCCUACGGGCGGCAGCAGUGGGGAAUAUUGCACAACGGGCGGAAGUCUGAUGCAGCAACGCCGCGUGCGGGAUGACGGCCUUCGGGUUGUAAACCGCUUUCGCCUGUGACGAAGCGUGAGUGACGGUAAUGGGUAAAGAAGCACCGGCUAACUACGUG